CGAAAACCGGGCAUUACCAUGUCAUGGUCAUGCUCAUCCUUGUCGUCUUCACGGCUCAUGGCUGCUGCAAUUGCCAUAUGCUAACAAGUAUCCCGGGGGGAGAGGGGCUAUAGCAAGAAAACAACAUACGUCGUCCACGUGCGCGUCAAAUAAGAAGUAUAGGAAACAUGCCAACAAAAGUCACUCCCAUGGAGAAAAGCAAAAGAAGCAAUGUUAUGGGCAAUGCCAAUAAUUCUCCUAGAACUGAAGUGACAAUAAACAAAAGAUGUGAAGAACUUCUAGCAGUUCCCCAAGAUGAAAAACUUUAUUGCUUGUUCCAGAAUGAGGUUACAUGCCGAGACAGCCUCUUCAUCUGAAGUCCAAACAAUCGGUUAGCAGUAGUUUAAGGUACCUUUAUGCAUGGCAAAGCUCCAAAUCAUGAAACACAACUGGUUUUCCCCUUUUCUAUCAUUUCUAUGCAUGCUUUUUGCUCUAGUGCCAACUCUGGUUCUUACUCACAUAAUUGUUUUCUCUAACCGGGGUUGUGUAUUUUGACCUGAUUGUGGCU